rnacentral:rRNA from 1 species
CAACGCCGCGUGCAGGAUGACACUUUCGGAGCGUAAACUGCUUUCUCGGGACGAGUAAGGACGGUACCCGAGGAAUCAGCCCGGCUAACUACGUGC